CGGACGGGUGAGUAACGCGUGGAAACCUGCCGUAUACUGGGGGAUAACACUUAGAAAUAGGUGCUAAUACCGCAUAAGCGCACAGCUUCGCAUGAAGCGGUGUGAAAAACUCUGGUGGUAUACGAUGGUUCCGCGUCUGAUUAGCUAGUUGGUGGGGUAAUGGCCUACCAAGGCAACGAUCAGUAGCCGGCCUGAGAGGGUGAACGGCCACAUUGGGACUGAGACACGGCCCAAACUCCUACGGGAGGCAGCAG
rnacentral:rRNA from 1 species